rnacentral:rRNA from 1 species
CUACGGGGUGCAGCAGUGGGGAAUAUUGCACAAUGGGCGCAAGCCUGAUGCAGCAACGCCGCGUGAACGAUGAAGGCCUUCGGGUUGUAAAGUUCUUUUCUUAGGGAAGAAUAAAUGACGGUACCUAAGGAAUCAGCCCCGGCUAACUACGUGCCAGCAGCCGCGGUAAUACGUAGGGGGCAAGCGUUAUCCGGAAUCACUGGGCGUAAAGGGAGUGUAGGCGGUCAAGCAAGUCAGAGGUGAAAGGCAUCGGCUCAACCGAUGUAAGCCUUUGAAACUGUUUGGCUUGAGUGCAGGAGAGGUAAGUGGAAUUCCUAGUGUAGCGGUGAAAUGCGUAGAUAUUAGGAGGAACACCAGUGGCGAAGGCGACUUACUGGACUGUAACUGACGCUGAGGCUCGAAAGCGUGGGGAGCGAACAGGAUUAGAUACCCUAGUAGUC